rnacentral:rRNA from 1 species
ACGGCUCAGUAACACGUGGACAAUCUAACCUACGGAAGAGGAUAACCCCGGGAAACUGGGGAUAAUACUCUAUAGACUAUGGAUGCUGGAAUGCUUCGUAGUCGAAAGGUCCGCCGCCGUAGGAUGGGUCUGCGGCCGAUUAGGUUGUUGUUGGGGUAACGGCCCAACAAGCCUGUAAUCGGUACGGGUUGUGGGAGCAAGAGCCCGGAGAUGGAUUCUGAGACACGAAUCCAGGCCCUACGGGGCGCAGCAGGCGCGAAAACUUUACAAUGCGGGAAACCGUGAUAAGGGAACUCCGAGUGCCCGUAAAAUCGGGCUGUCCAUCAGUGUAAAUAACUGGUGAAGAAAGGGCCGGGCAAGACCGGUGCCAGCCGCCGCGGUAAUACCGGCGGCUCGAGUGGUGGCCACUAUUACUGGGCUUAAAGCGUUCGUAGCUGGUUUGUUAAGUCUCUGGGGAAAUCUUCCGGCUUAACCGGAAGGCGUCUCAGGGAUACUGGCAGACUAGGGACCGGGAGAGGUGAGGGGUACUCCAGGGGUAGGAGUGAAAUCCUGUAAUCCUUGGGGGACCACCUGUGGCGAAGGCGCCUCACCAGAACGGCUCCGACAGUGAGGGACGAAAGCUGGGGGAGCAAACCGGAUUAGAUACCCGGGUAGUCCCAGCCGUAAACGAUGCGCGUUAGGUGUAUCGGUGACCACGAGUCACCGAGGUGCCGAAGAGAAAUCGUGAAACGUGCCGCCUGGGAAGUACGGUCGCAAGGCUGAAACUUAAAGGAAUUGGCGGGGGAGCAC